GACGAACGCUGGCGGCGUGCUUAACACAUGCAAGUCGAACGGAAAGGCCCUGCUUUUGUGGGGUGCUCGAGUGGCGAACGGGUGAGUAACACGUGAGUAACCUGCCCUUGACUUUGGGAUAACUUCAGGAAACUGGGGCUAAUACCGGAUAGGAGCUCCUGCUGCAUGGUGGGGGUUGGAAAGUUUCGGCGGUUGGGGAUGGACUCGCGGCUUAUCAGCUUGUUGGUGGGGUAGUGGCUUACCAAGGCUUUGACGGGUAGCCGGCCUGAGAGGGUGACCGGCCACAUUGGGACUGAGAUGCGGCCCAGACUCCUACGGGAGGCAGCAGUGGAGAAUAUUGCACAAUGGGCGGAAGCCUGAUGCAGCAACGCCGCGUGCGGGAUGACGGCCUUCGGGUUGUAAACCACUUUCGCCUGUGACGAAGCGUGAGUGACGGUAAUGGGUAAAGAAGCACCGGCUAACUACGUG
rnacentral:rRNA from 1 species